GUCUAGCUCUUGCAGAAACUCAUACCUUUCCCAGAGCUUUUGGUUUUGUGUCCUUUUUUUUUCUGGUUAAUCUGUACAUUUCACCCUUUAGCAUGUUUUAUUCUCUCCCUUAUAUCUUUUGUCACCGUGCCAGAAAAUUUUAAAUGUAUCCCUUCAAGUGGAGAUAAUCAAUGCAAAUCAGAGGUACUGGAUCCCAAAAGCUUGAUUCUCAAACAGCAUUAAGCUUCAGGAGGUCAUGUUUUCAAAGUCCAACCUCCUGCUUCAUUUUUUUCUCAUUGCAGAACUGCUGUAUGCAUGGCAUGAGAGAAAGGAUUCAAUUCACUGCAAUUGCUGCCUGAUUUCACAAAGAAUUUUUCUCUAAGGGACUUAAAUUUCAUCUAAAUUACAAAGGUAGGUCAUCCGCAGAAUAAUAUCACUAGUAAAAAAAAAAACAGAAAAAAAAAAAACAACCAGUGUGCAUUUCUAUACUUGGAUUAUAUAUGUUUUAAUAUGGAAUGAAUGCAAUGUAUGACAUAUUAGCACAUUGCCACAAUGUACCCUUGUAUUUUGAUAUUAACAACCUACACGCAAAGGCCUUCGAUAGCACAUGAUUACAAAAUGGCUGCCACUCUUAUGUUAUUUAAAGGCAAACACCCCAUACAAACAGUGGUAUGGGUAGUAAUAUUAAGUGCCUGGAUUCCAAGCAUUUUUACCUUUCCAGGUGAUGUUGCAGAAGAGAUGCAUGCUUGUGACACAGGUAACGUUAACAGAAUGUGGUGUAUGAUAAUGCAAUUAAUAAUUUUUAUUUAAAGUUUAAUAAAGUAUUGCUUAUAUGGAACUGUGGUAUCAGCCUAGAAGUACUUAAAAUAUAUUUAAUUAUUUGUGAUAAAGAAAAAAUAAAAAGCAGUUACUUGCUACAGAAGAAUGGUCACAAUUGUUAUUCUAGAUUUAUUCAUGAAAUAAUGUGCAGAAUAUAAUUAAGAUUUCCGAUUUCUAAUGCAGUUUUAGAGAGGGCUGCCGACGGAUACUGUAUUCUAUAUGUGCAUAAAUAUGUGACUAUCACAUGUAGGGGAAUAAUAAAGGGGUUUUUUUUCUUAUUGUUUUUAAAGCAGGUCUGCGGAAUUAAGGAAUAAGCUAUGAGCUUAAGUCAUGGCUCAUUAGACCACUUAUAAGGGAGGGCAAUGAAUGAUGACAUAAUUAGACUGUGCUUUUCUUCAAUGAAAGGUGCCUGUAAAUGGAGGUAUUAAUCAUAUCAAGGUCAAACGAAUAAAGGCAUAAAUACAUUUUACCAGAUGUUUGUGUUAUGACAGAUUUUGGAGCUGGUUCUGUGUCUGUGUUUUGUGUCUUUAAAUUACCUGGCAUUAGUUUAAACAAUAUCUAAAAUAUGGCUAGGAUGCAGUUUAAUACAAUUUUCAGCCACCUGUCAUUCAAAGAGUUAAAAGUGUUUUCUGUUAAGGUAUAUAAUGUUUAAUUAAAAAAAAAAAACUAUCAAGAGGUAGCUAUGUAUAUGGUAUAACACUAGGCAUUAUGCAGUGAUAACAUUUAGUGAUUGCAUCAUCAGGAAGGUUGCUGGUACUUCAAGAGUUAACCAUUGUAUCUUCACAUACAGCUAAGAUACUUGCAUUGUUCAAGGCUCAUUCUGACCUUGUUCAAGUAUACAGCGUUAUCAUUGACCUAUCUACUCUACACCAAGCAAUCUGUUAUUUUUAUGACUAUGCAAUCAAAUAUGUAUUAAGAUCAAAUAAAGAAUGCAAUAUGAAUAACAUGUCUCUAGCAUUGUCUUAAAUCUGUUUCUGAUUAUUGCAUUUCAUCUAAUAUACUCUGUAUCUACAUUACAACAUGGAAAAUGUUAGUUCUGCUCGUGAGCCACGAUGGGAAUUAGUUACUGGAGCACAGAUAAGAGUAAUACGCAUUCUUUGUUUUGAUGAUAUAUGAAAAUUUUUUUGAAUUGUGGAGAAUUAUGAUGUUUUGUUAAGAGAAAAAUAAAUCCAGACAGAGAUGGGCAAAUUGUCUUCAGCUGCCCGCCUUAAGAAGUAAAAGAAAAAUUAAUAAUGUUGUUUUAAUUAUGUGCCUAGAAUUAAUAUAUACAUGGUUACUGGAGAGAUGCAAGCAACCUAUACCAAGUUAAAAAGUUGAAAAAAAAGAAAUUCACCAGAACAACAGAGUUACACAAUUAAAAUCUACAAAAUUGGAUAUUUUUAUUUAACUCAACUAUUUUGAUUAAUAUUUUUAAAUUGCCAAUUUACUAAAACUUGUUUUUCACUUGAUUCACCCUCCGGUAAAUAUAAUGGUAUUAAACGGUCUGCUUUGGUUAAUAUCUUUGUGCAACCUUUUUAGGAAAUCCUGCUUCAACCAGACUGAAUCAUUAAAUGUUGUUAUCAUAAAAGGAACUGCAUUAAAGGAUGAGUCAGAUUCAGAUAAACACCAUACUAAGGACAGAUUUGGUGGAUAGUUGGACCUACUAAAACUUACUCACAACCAGGCCAGGAGCAGUAGGAAUCACCAAAACCAUCAGUCCACACUCAUAAGGAACUCAUGAUAAUUGACAAGCUAGAUCUUGGAAAGUGCAUACUUUAUUGUAGAAAAAAAAUGGUCAACAAGAUAAUAAUAAUAAUAAUAAUAAUAACAAAGUAUUUAACCAGGAAAGGUACAUUCAGAUUAUUCUGCUUUUCAAGUACGUCCUUGGGAUGUUACCUUAGCCCAACAUCCAGGGGUUGUCACUUUUAACCAAUCUAAUGGUACUCAUUUGAUCUACCUCAAUGCCAUAACAACAUGUGCAAACCUCAUAAGUAACAGGCAAUCAAAACUCUUAAAACACAUGUCAAUUAAUUCAGACUCUUUCUACUCAGGGGAGUCCAAGAUCUGAAAAAUACAAAAAAAUACAAUAAUACAAAAAUACAAAAAACUAAAAUACCUACACCUGCCAAAAGGGGGAACAAAAUUCUGAAAAAAACAUACAGUAACUCUGGAUGCGUUUUGUGCCUGUCCUAGUAAACCUAGUAAUCGAAUACAUAAAACACAAAGAAAUGACCAAUGGACAUAAAAUCCAGAGGACAAAGCAAAGUUCCUAUAUGAAUAUAAUGUAAUUAAAAUUAAAUUUAUUUAUAUAUGUUUAAAAAGGAAUGGUAAUUGAACCAAAAAGACAAAACAACACUAAAAAAAGGAACCUCUUAAACACAAAAUAAAGGGGAGCUCAUAAGCUCCAAGUAAGAAAUAUGGUAGAAGGGGUUAAGGAGCAAUGGAAGCUGCUUGAUAAGAUAGAAUGAUAAGAUAGAGACAAUUAUCAAUCCUAAUUGUAUAUAGGCUACAAGGUACAGAGAGUUUGAACAAUAUAAUAUCUACAGGAUAGUACAGCAAGGAAAUAUAUAAUGUAGCCAUUAAGUCAAAUAACCUAAGGAUAGCAGAGGGAUAAUGUCUCUGAAAAAUAUUAUAUAGCUAAGCUUUCAUUGAACAUGCUAAACACUGAAUCGACUUCAUGGUCGCUUUCUGAAAAAAAUAAUAUUGUAAUGAAGGCAAAAAGCUAGGUUGAUUGUAAAACAGAGACAAGUAUAAAGUAAAUCAGUCUGUUAUCAGGUAGUUAUGGUGAGUAGAAAAAAUAUACUCACAGAGAGGUUGAACCCAAUAGCUCAGUUGCUAAGCAGUAUAAUACCUAUGAAAUGAUGCCUCAAGGGAAUAUAUAGAAUGUUGCAAAAAAUUCUAUAACCAAAAAAUUGCGAAAGGAUACUGGCUCUAAAGAUGAUCAUCAAUGCAUCCUGUUGUUUUUACAAAAUAACAAGUUUAAAAGUAAUGGUCCACUGCACCCAGACCACUUCAUUGACUUUAUUGGUCCUUUAGGUGAAUAAACAUAAACCUUUCAAUACAUUUAACUUCCAUGAAAGUGUUACUCCAGACAUCAUGAAAACUUCAGGGAGUUGAAGUGGUCAUGGUGGUAGGAGUCUGGAUGGGCAGUGUUUCUGCUUAAAAUAUGUGCACUUCUGUGCCAGGGGACUUGGAAAGCCCAGAUCUCUGUUCUGGCUACUUAAUGUCUAUUCUGUGCAUAUUUUAUGUCUCUCGUCAGUGCUUUCUACACACUGGUGACAGACGUAAUAAUUUUCUCCCUUGCAGGCAGAGUGCCUGAAAGGGGAAGAUGGCUCUCCCCUCCCUACCUCCCUCUCUGUGUGUGCUUCCUCCGGCCUCUCGCCAAAACUUGAAUAGGUAUUUAAAAAAAAAAAAUAAUAAUAAUUGUCAGUUACAAUAGAAACAUGGCUGUAUGUUUUGUUAUAGUAUUCUAACAUGCUUUGCAGGCCAUGAAUGCUGUUAAUUGUAAUCGUAUUUUAUGUUAAAAAUGUUAAAAUGAAAAUUAGUUUGUUGUACAGCAAUUAUCAUCUCUAUCUAUUUUAUCUCAUCCGUGAAUAGCUAGAUAUUAUGUUUGCUAUUUUAUUGUCGAGCCUUGCUAUUCAUGAAUAAAAUUUAAUGUUUAAAAAAAAAAAAAAAAAAAAGGACACCUAGCGUAAAUGAUGUCGGCAGCCAAUCAAAAGCUAUGAUUAGCAGAAGAACUCCCAGCUUUCCAAAAUACAGGAAAUGCGCUCUCAGAAUUGUCUGUGUCAAUCGUGCCAGGCUCAGCUGUAAAUCUUUAUUUUUUAUAUAAAAAAAAAAGCAAAUAAAAGUGCUGAACGAAUGUAAACAUUAUUAACACAAAUAAUGUAUCUAAUACUACAAUCAGGCUUCCCCAAACUCAGGCCCUCCAGAUGUUGUUGAAAUACAACUCCCAUGAUUUUCAGCCUAUCUAUUUCAUUCAUAGAAUCAUGGGAGUUGUAGUUCAGCAACAUCUGGAGGGCCAGAGUUUGGGGAAGCCUGUAAACUACAUGCUGGGAGAGGGGGGAAUUUACUAUUUCUGUUGGAAAAGCUACUUUAUCAUAGGGUUAUCUUACAAUGUAACACAUGCACAUGUUUCUUUCCAAAGACAACAUUCUGUUUCUUUAAUUUUGUUAAAAUACAAAAUCAUUUAUAAAAUAACAAAAUAACAAAAUCAUUUAUAAAAUAACAAAAAAAUAUUACUAGGUUUGAUCUCACUUAAAUAUAUGUUAAGUGUCCUUUUGCCUAUCCUUUUAGUUUCAUUUUUGUGACGAUUAUAACACUUAUAAAUGAUUUCCUAGUUCAUCUGUCAGUUCAUAUGCCAUUAAUGUGUACCUUACAUGCCAUCUGUUUGAAACAAUUGUGACUAUGCUCUGUUGCCUGUUUUUUUUUAUUUUUUAUAUUGCUAUUAAAUCGUCACUGUUACCGUCUAGAGACCUUGCUAAAUUCGUAAAGACCCCGAUGGUGACAUCGCCUCUGGGGGUCCGCUGGCCAGGCAGGCAGAUAAAGGAGAGGUUUCCUUACCUGAACCUAUUCCUUGCAGGUGCGGCCAUCUUGAUCUGGUGGGUCCUCUUCUGUACCAAUGCCACAUAGACACAGCCAUUGACUCUGCCCUUAGAGAUGGAGGAGAAAUACAAACACAGAACCCCUACCUUGUCUCUGCACAUUUCUUGACUGGGCUGUUAAAAUGAGUAUAUCAUAAACAUUCUAUUUUUAUAAAAUAUUCAUUUUUCAGGGGGGGUGACAGUGCCGAUUUAAAGUUACACAUGAUAGUAAAAGUGAUAUAGAUUUACCAAAUAAUAUUAUUACAAAGAAUAUAUGUUUAAAAAAUUGUCCAACUCUAAGCAUGAUAACCAUUACAGCCCUCUAUAGUGAUUAUGAUGCCGGGAGCCCAGUUCCCAGUUCCACAGCCAGAAGCUGAGGGGGUCAACAUUCAUUGACUGAGAGCGUUAUCUGACCACUUUCAGCCAAUGAUAAUCACUCUGUGCACCAGAGGUUAUUUCAAAGUCAAACACUGCACAUACUGACUCCAGGCAUCACAGCUACUUCAAAUCACUGAAGUGGUUAUAGUGCUUGGAGUAAUCCAUUGAGGCCUAUUUUAUUUAGAGCUACUUCAGCUCAUCUAUUCAGUUAAUAAUUGUGAAAUUCUAUCCAGUUAUUUCUAUCAUUAUAAAUAUGCUAUUUUGUAUUUUAUAUGAGCAGCAGGUGCCUAAAAUAGCAAAAUGUUGGGUUUUUAGCCUGUCAAUCAAAUAUAUUUGGAAAUAAUGGUAGAAAUUGAUGCAUAUAUAAGCUCCAACUGUGUUUGCAUUGCAAACCACACCCACCGAAAUCUCUCUCUAUCUGUGGUUCUUAAUAUACACCUGUCAGACUCUAUUACAUGUGUAGAUAAAAAGAAAAUAGCAUCAGUGUCUUCUAUUUUUACACUCCUCCAUAAAGUAGAGGCUAAAAUAGACAGCAAACCACAGCUGGAAGCAUUUUUGAGUCAGAUAAAAUCUGCCAAAAUAUAUUUUACUGCUUGUGUUGUGCUCAUCAAAUCUAAAUUGGUCUGAAACACUUUUUUUUUUUAAAGAAAAAGAAAAAAGUAAAAUGACUAAGACUGGUUUCAGCUAGUUUGAAUGGUAUUUGGCUUAGAGAAAAAAGAUACAAUUUUGGGAUGAUUUAUCAUUUACAAGUGCAAUUCCGGGUCCACAGUUGCUAAAUGUUGAUAAUCAAUUGAUUUUCAUGAUGACUGAAGUACUAUUUAGCACAGGGGUGCCCAAAAGGUAGAUCCACAGAUGUUGUAGAAGUACAACUCCAAUGAUGCUUUGCAAACCUUUCGAGUGUUUUAGAAUUGUAAAGCAUUAUGGAAGCUGUAGUUUUGAAACAUCUGGAGAUAUACCUUUUGGGCACCCCUGAUUUAGCACUUUGCACAAGAAUAGCACCUGCUUUUGCCUUGUUAAAUCUCCCCCAUAACUAUUGCAAUUAAGAAUGUUUAAUUAUAGAGUGCACACAAAUACUAGAGGGCAAAAUAUAGCAAGUAAUAUGUAUUAUAAAACAUACAUUUAUACACAGAGAAAAACAGUAUCAUACAAGUUCUAAAAACUUUGCCAGCAAAUAUAUCCAGUUGGUGGGUGUGGGGUACAACUAGAACAUGUUAUGCAGGCAGUGGAGGGAUGACAACUCGUAGAUUGCGGGGCAAGCACAAUAAGGUUUUUUGUUUUGUUUUCUCAAAACUCCUAUAUAGAGCAUGCAUUUGACAGAUGGAUGUUGUUGGAGUUGACACCAUCCACCUCUGAAACCUCGACCAAUAUGAUCUGGGUAUUCACAGAAAGAGUUGUGCAUGUCUAAGAGACACAGAUUGUUUCCAGAAACUCCACUGCUACCAGUCUCUACCAGCAUGUGUUACAAAUGUAAUGUUCAUGUUUUUAUCUCACCCAUCAGUCACUUGUAAAGAGCUCCAGGAAUAUCCAACUUAUCAUAUUGGCUUCUUGAUUGACCCCAGAUACUGCACUUCACCAAGAGACAGACAUGUUGGCUAGUCCAGGCCUAGAGAACAUUGAGACUGAAGGCAUCAGCUCGUGCACAAACCCACACGAUGCUUGGCUACUAAAGGCUCUGCACAAUUCCUGCCUUCUGUCUCACUCCAUCAGUAGUUUGGCAAGAGACAUACCAAUGCACUUCCUGCUAUUUUAACCUGCAGAAGAAAGCUGCUGGAAUUUAGAUCAUAAUCCCUAUUUACUGGUGGUUUGGGAGGUAAUUGUCAACCGGCCUCACUUACCUGCAUGCUCUUGUGUGCAGAAGUAUUCCAUUGGUUUCCGUAAUUGUCGUUCCAAUUUUAGAAUGUUGUGUUAUAAUUUCUCUUCAUUCAUCAACUGCAUAGAACAUAUUAAUCAAGUAUUACUAUUCUUUUUAAUUUUAACCAUAAAGCAAAUCAGGGACUUUGAAAAGCAAAUACAAAGCUGAAUUUCCUUUAUAUUAAAACUUUUAAUGUAUGAUAAGUGUAUUCAAUGGAUUUGUGUGUUCCUUCCCAACAACAUGUUUGCAUGUACUAACACAAUUUAGCCCACAUGUUUUCCCCUUUUCCCCCCUGCAAAUUUUCACCCAGCAGAGAAGCAUUUUCCUCUGGUAGGACUUUGUGUCCCUCUGUACUGUUGUAGACAUGCUAUGUUUUAUGGACACCCAACUCCAACAUUCUACAGAAAGAUUUAUUAGGUCAUACUGCAUGUCCGGAUUCUAACAGCAAGUGAUCAGAACAAAAUUAGUGCACUAC